rnacentral:rRNA from 1 species
CGUAACAAGGUCUCCGUUGGUAAACCAGCGGAGGGAUCAUUACCGAGUUUACAACUCCCAAACCCCUGUGAACAUACCAAUUGUUGCCUCGGCGGAUCAGCCCGCUCCCGGUAAAACGGGACGGCCCGCCAGAGGACCCCUAAACUCUGUUUCUAUAUGUAACUUCUGAGUAAAACCAUAAAUAAAUCAAAACUUUCAACAACGGAUCUCUUGGUUCUGGCAUCGAUGAAGAACGCAGCAAAAUGCGAUAAGUAAUGUGAAUUGCAGAAUUCAGUGAAUCAUCGAAUCUUUGAACGCACAUUGCGCCCGCCAGUAUUCUGGCGGGCAUGCCUGUUCGAGCGUCAUUUCAACCCUCAAGCCCAGCUUGGUGUUGGGACUCGCGAGUCAAAUCGCGUUCCCCAAAUUGAUUGGCGGUCACGUCGAGCUUCCAUAGCGUAGUAGUAAAACCCUCGUUACUGGUAAUCGUCGCGGCCACGCCGUUAAACCCCAACUUCUGAAUGUUGACCUCGGAUCAGGUAGGAAUACCCGCUGAACUUAAGCAUAUCA